UGAUGAGGUCGUAGAGCGCGCCUCGUAAAAUAAAAAAAGCUCGAUUGAU
rnacentral:ncRNA from 1 species